rnacentral:rRNA from 1 species
AUGUCUACCUGUCUCACUGACAUGAUUAAUGCCAAUGGGUUGGACUUUCUUGGUUUGCAAGAAACUAUGAAAAGCAACUACAUUCCUUCCUUUUUUAGGAAGCUGGAUCCAUAUCAAAAGUUUCAUUGGGAGUGGAACCCUUCUAGGGGAAAACCUGGAGGCAUCCUUUGUGGUGUGAAUAAAGAUAAGUUUGAUAUCCUAGGGGUGAAGCAUGGGAAAUUUAUUUUACAAAUUGACCUUUUUGACAGAAGCAAAAAGAGUAAGUGGGCCUUGAUGGUUGCAUAUGGUGCUACUCAUGAUGAGCAGAAACCUGAAUUUAUGGCAGAAAUGUCCACUAUGUGCCAUAAUACUCACUCUUAUUUAGUGGGAGGGGAUUUCAAUAUUUUGUGUUAUAGCGGGGAGAAAAACAACAAAAAACCAUCCCAUUUCUCUAACGUGUUCAACUCUGCCAUUCACCUGUUAGAGCUGAGAGAGAUCAGUAUGUCAGGAGGUUGUUACAUUUGGUCUAACAAACAUGAGAAUCCUACCCUGGAAAAUUUUAAUAGGGUGCUGAUGUCAUCUGAUUGGGAGGAUUUAUAUCCUCUUGUUUCAGUUCAUAAAAUGGUCAAGGAGAUUUCUGAUCAUAAUCCACUUCUAUUGGAUGGGGGGUGGCACUCUAGGGCACCGGGAAAUAGUUGCUUUAAGUUUGAUAAUGUCUGGUUGAAUAAUUCGGACUUUCUCCCUUUAGUGGUCGAGAUCUGGUCUACGCUAGUUUGUAGGGGUGGGCAUAAAAAACUGAGUACCGAAAGCCAUACCAAAUAA